GUGCCAGCAGCCGCGGUAAUACGUAGGUGGCAAGCGUUGUCCGGAAUUAUUGGGCGUAAAGCGCGCGCAGGCGGUCUUUUAAGUCUGAUGUGAAAUCUCGGGGCUCAACCCCGAGCGGUCAUUGGAAACUGGGAGACUUGAGUACAGAAGAGGAGAGUGGAAUUCCACGUGUAGCGGUGAAAUGCGUAGAUAUGUGGAGGAACACCAGUGGCGAAGGCGACUCUCUGGUCUGUAACUGACGCUGAGGCGCGAAAGCGUGGGGAGCAAACAGGAUUAGAUACCCUGGUAGUCC
rnacentral:rRNA from 1 species